GACUUGAGCUAUAUUUUUAUGGAACAUAUUCCUUUGGGGCUUUUAUUUUUAAAAUAAUCAAGAGAAUGUGAUUUGAUGUAUUAUUUUUAUAAUAUGGUUUUAAUAUAAUUCAUUUUAGACCGAUUUCAAAUUUAUUUUAUUAGUAACAUAAUCAUGCAUUUAUUUAUUAAGUUCUUUUAAUAUAAUUAGAUCAAGCCAUACUUUUUAUGAUUUCUUUACUCUAUUGCAUAAGUUCGAAAUAAAAUAGUAAACUAAAGAAAAAUUGGAUCAACAAAUUUGGUACUUUUUUACAAGUCCUUGCAAAUAUAUUAUUCAUAAAGAUAUCUAAAACAGUAUGUAUGCACUUAAGUCUUUAUUAUAAUUAAAACAUAAUUUAUAAAAUAAGUACCACAACAAUAAGUAUAACUAAUAAAAUCUAGCUCUUUUCCAAUUUCCAACUAUUGAUGUGUUCAUUUCAUUUAGACAUCUUAUUUUACUUAUUUCCAAUUAAUGAAAUGAAAUGAAAUAAAUUAUGAUCAUCUACAUCACUCCUCUUGGUCAUACACCAAAUAUUAAAACUAAAUCCUCAUUCAAUCUCCCCUCCUCCAUUUUACCAUCUUAUUUUCCUUCAACAAAAAAAUCGCCAUUGCCAUGAGAAUCACACUUUAUCACAAAUUUAAUUCAACAACUUAAUUUUAACAUAAACCAAUUACUAAAAUACACAUGUUCUAGUAAAAAAUUCCAUUAACAACAGACAAUCACUGUUACUAACACUCAUAACAUCACCGAAGUCAUUAAUUAA
rnacentral:lncRNA from 1 species